UUUUUUUUUUGGUUGUGUUUAGUUCUUAAAGAACUUUUAAACUAGUUCAAAUACACUCGUUUCUGUUUUCACUUCCCACCCAGACCUCAAAAGGAGCUACCUUUUCUCUCUCUACUUUCUUUCUCUCGAGAUUGAUUAUUUAUUUUAUUUCCUUCCAAUUUUUCCCCGUUCUUUUUGUGCUCUCUGGUUUAGUCUAUAGAUUUCUUUUUUCUGGGUUUUAUGGUUUUUGAAGAUUGAGUGAUUGUAAGCAAAGAUUAUAUGGCUGUGGUGCUCUUGCUCUUCUUAUUGGUAG
rnacentral:misc_RNA from 1 species